rnacentral:rRNA from 1 species
CAAUAUGUCAGCGGCAGACGGGUGAGUAACGCGUGGGAACGUACCUUUUGGUUCGGAACAACUGAGGGAAACUUCAGCUAAUACCGGAUAAGCCCUUACGGGGAAAGAUUUAUCGCCGAAAGAUCGGCCCGCGUCUGAUUAGCUAGUUGGUGAGGUAAUGGCUCACCAAGGCGACGAUCAGUAGCUGGUCUGAGAGGAUGAUCAGCCACAUUGGGACUGAGACACGGCCCAAACUCCUACGGGAGGCAGCAGUGGGGAAUAUUGGACAAUGGGCGCAAGCCUGAUCCAGCCAUGCCGCGUGAGUGAUGAAGGCCCUAGGGUUGUAAAGCUCUUUUGUGCGGGAAGAUAAUGACGGUACCGCAAGAAUAAGCCCCGGCUAACUUCGUGCCAGCAGCCGCGGUAAUACGAAGGGGGCUAGCGUUGCUCGGAAUCACUGGGCGUAAAGGGUGCGUAGGCGGGUCUUUAAGUCAGGGGUGAAAUCCUGGAGCUCAACUCCAGAACUGCCUUUGAUACUGAAGAUCUUGAGUUCGGGAGAGGUGAGUGGAACUGCGAGUGUAGAGGUGAAAUUCGUAGAUAUUCGCAAGAACACCAGUGGCGAAGGCGGCUCACUGGCCCGAUACUGACGCUGAGGCACGAAAGCGUGGGGAGCAAAACAGGAUUAGAUACCCUGGUAGUCCACGCCGUAAACGAUGAAUGCCAGCCGUUAGUGGGUUUACUCACUAGUGGCGCAGCUAACGCUUUAAGCAUUCCGCCUGGGGAGUACGGUCGCAAGAUUAAAACUCAAAGGAAUUG